UACGAAGGGGGCUAGCGUUGCUCGGAUUGACUGGGCGUAAAGGGCGCGUAGGCGGUUUGCAUAGUCAGACGUGAAAUUCCUGGGCUUAACCUGGGGGCUGCGUUUGGUACAUGCAGGCUUGAGUUCGGAAGAGGGUCGUGGAAUUCCCAGUGUAGAGGUGAAAUUCGCAGAUAUUGGGAAGAACACCGGUGGCGAAGGCGGCGACCUGGUCCGAUACUGACGCUGAGGCGCGAAAGCGUGGGGAGCAAACAGG
rnacentral:rRNA from 1 species